AUUGAACGCUGGCGGCAGGCCUAACACAUGCAAGUCGAGCGAGCGGCGGACGGGUGCGUGAUGCCUGGGUAUUGCCCAGUCUAGCGGGAUAAAAGGUGGACCCGACUCCUAAUCCCCCAUACGAUUCGAUUCCCCAGGUGGGAUUAGCUAGGUGGUGGGGUAAUGGCUCACCAAGGCGACGAUCCCUAGCUGGUCUGAGAGGAUGAUCAGCCACACUGGAACUGAGACACGGUCCAGACUCCUACGGGAGGCAGCAGUGGGGAAUAUUGCACAAUGGGUGAAAGCCUGAUGCAGCCAUGCCGCGUGUGUGAAGAAGGUCUUCGGAUUGUAAAGCACUUUAAGCGGGGAGGCGUUACUCGCAGAAGAAGCACCGGCUAACUCCGUGCCAGCAGCCGCGGUAAUUC
rnacentral:rRNA from 1 species